AUUGAACGCUGGCGGCAGGCCUAACACAUGCAAGUCGAGCGGAUGAAGGGAGCUUGCUCCUGGAUUCAGCGGCGGACGGGUGAGUAAUGCCUAGGAAUCUGCCUGGUAGUGGGGGAUAACGUCCGGAAACGGGCGCUAAUACCGCAUACGUCCUGAGGGAGAAAGUGGGGGAUCUUCGGACCUCACGCUAUCAGAUGAGCCUAGGUCGGAUUAGCUAGUUGGUGGGGUAAAGGCCUACCAAGGCGACGAUCCGUAACUGGUCUGAGAGGAUGAUCAGUCACACUGGAACUGAGACACGGUCCAGACUCCUACGGGAGGCAGCAGUGGGGAAUAUUGGACAAUGGGCGAAAGCCUGAUCCAGCCAUGCCGCGUGUGUGAAGAAGGUCUUCGGAUUGUAAAGCACUUUAAGUUGGGAGGAAGGGGAGUAAGUUAAUACCUUGCUGUUUUGACGUUACCAACAGAAUAAGCACCGGCUAACUUCGUG
rnacentral:rRNA from 1 species